rnacentral:rRNA from 1 species
UACGGGGGGGGCAAGCGUUGUUCGGAAUUACUGGGCGUAAAGGGCGCGUAGGCGGCCUGCUAAGUCGAACGUGAAAUCCCCGGGCUCAACCCGGGAACUGCGUCCGAUACUGGCAGGCUUGAAUUCGGGAGAGGGAUGCGGAAUUCCAGGUGUAGCGGUGAAAUGCGUAGAUAUCUGGAGGAACACCGAUGGCGAAGGCAGGUCUCUGGGCAUUAACUGACGCUGAGGAGCGAAAGCAUGGGGAGCGAACAGG